rnacentral:rRNA from 1 species
AUACGGAGGGUGCGAGCGUUGUUCGGAAUUAUUGGGCGUAAAGAGCAUGUAGGCGGUCUGUUAAGUCUGGUGUGAAAGCCCGGGGCUCAACCCCGGAAGUGCAUUGGAUACUGGCAGACUUGAGUAUGCGAGAGGAAAGCGGAAUUCCGAGUGUAGGAGUGAAAUCCGUAGAUAUUCGGAGGAACACCAGUGGCGAAGGCGGCUUUCUGGACCAAUACUGACGCUGAGAUGCGAAAGCGUGGGGAGCAAACAGAAUUAGAAACCCCGGUAGUCC